rnacentral:lncRNA from 1 species
GUGAAAAGCCUAAGUCACCUUCGCAAGAAGAUCUAGCGAUUAUGGCUAUUGCUCCACAUGAUUUUAUUGUGGAAUUCAAUAACUAUGACAGUGAUGCUAACAAAACAGCUGUUAGCACAAUUGAUUUUUAUUUAUUAUUGUAAAAUACUGCUUAAAUUAAUAUAAAAAUAAUAAUUUAACAAUAUAAUGAAUAUUUUUAGGUUCAAUUACAACCCCUAGAAGUUAAGGAAGUAAUAGCUGGAUCUAGUAGUGCUUUUACUCCUUCAAACAUGCCCCUUGAAUACAAUGAUGUGGUAGAAGUGAUAAUAGACCAAGAUGCCCCAAAUGAAAAUGUGACGACUGCCGUUACUACUGACGAAAAAAAAACAACAUUCAUAAUAAAAAGGGCCUUCAAAAUAUGUAAGCAAGAUUACCUUAAGUUUAUAUUAAUCUUAUUAUUUACUAAGAACAAAUUAGUAAUAAAGGAUAAAUAUUUGAUUUUUCAGAAAAGUAGCAACACAAGAAAAAAUAUUAGAGAGCAACACUCAAUUUAAAAAAAAACAACUGGAAAUGCUAGCAGAAGAACAUGAAUACAA